rnacentral:rRNA from 1 species
CUACGGGGUGCAGCAGUGAGGAAUAUUGCACAAUGGGGGGAACCCUGAUGCAGCAACGCCGCGUGGAGGAUGACGCAUUUCGGUGUGUAAACUCCUUUUAUAUGUCAAGAAAAUGACGGUAGCAUAUGAAUAAGCACCGGCUGACCCCGUGCCAGCAGCCGCGGUAAUACGGAGGGGGCAAGCGUUACUCGGAAUCACUGGGCGUAAAGGACGCGUAGGCGGGUUGGAAAGUCAGGUGUGAAAUCCUACAGCUUAACUGUAGAACUGCACUUGAAACUUCUAAUCUAGAGUAUGGGAGGGGGAGAUGGAAUUAGUGGUGUAGGGGUAAAAUCCGUAGAUAUCACUAGGAAUACCUAAAGCGAAGGCGAUCUCCUGGAACAUUACUGACGCUAAGGCGUGAAAGCGUGGGGAGCAAACAGGAUUAGAUACCCUUGUAGUC